AAAACCCAAGAGUACAUACAAGGGUUAAUAUAUAUACAUUGCGAAAGCAAAAAUAAGCACUAAAAAGCACCCGAAGCGCACUUUAAGUGCAAAAAUUUACAUAAAUCAGCUACAAUCAGCAUUUUGGCACUGAAAUAUUAUGCAAAAAUGUCGUUUUAUUAUCCAGAAUAUUUCCCUAAGUGUUGGGAAUUGAAAGGGUACAAGAAAGGUACUCAAAAGACACUAAAAAGCGUAAUUUAGCACUUUAACGAAACGGUGUCUAACCGAACAACCGGACUUUACCCGGAAUAUGAAAAUAUUGCCAUAAACAUUAUUUGUCUUUUUCUGAGCCAGUUAGGGUCCCCGAAUACCCUAGCACCCGUUAUAAAUUACAACACACUAGUAAUUUAAUUUAUUUUCCUAAUAAACAACUAUCACUAACUAUGUAGUUGAAAUUGAGCCAAAAGCCCCACCCUACAUGAACCAAUCGGUUCCCAUGUAGGGGACACCACCACACAAUUUUGGAUAUUAUAUUUAGGGAUGUUUAAUAUCUUGGAUACAUAUUGUCUUGUGGUUAAUUAAAGAUAUUGGUUUAUAAAUUAAACCAUGAGGCCACCCUUAUCAUUCAUUUCAACAAACAAAAUUUCAUUUCUUUCUUUCCUUCUUUGAUGCUCUCGGCCGAAUACCAUAGUCCACCCACCAACACUUUCAAUUUUCCAUCUUGCCAUCCCACAUACAUAUCAAGGUGCUAGAGUUCACAUAAGGAGACCCGGUGCUUACGGAAUCGCAAGGACCUCACCACAACGCCAUUAACCACCUAUUUUUCGUCUAGUUUCUUCCCUAGCCUCGAGCUAGUAGUUACGACGUUAAAUAAGCAAACCCGGUGAAGUUUACGACGCACAGGAACGCAAAGUUCCUUGGAUUAACAGGUCAAGGUUGACAGAAUGUGAGUAGAGACAAACACCAUGCUCCGAUGUGGAACGAGUUCAGCUGCAGCGCAUUUCGAACUUAUUACGAGACGUUACGCUUUCCUCUAGGCCUGAUAAAUGGAUCUGGAAGCCAGCGAAUGACGGUUUGUUCUCGGUUACAUCCUCUCGAAAGCUGCUAUCUAGGUUCGCGGUUCCAUAUUAUCCUUUCGAAUGGGUAAAAUGGGUUCCCAAAAAAGUCAAUAUUUUCGGGUGGCGCGGGGUACAAGAUUGGCUGCCAACAUUGACCGGGCUAAAGAAAAGGGGCAUGACACAAGGAUCGGCAGUUUGUAAGCUAUGCGGUGAACAAGAAGAGGAUGCGGAUCAUCUAUUUACGGGUUGCUAUCUGGCGUCAAUAUUAUGGCAAAAGGUAAGCAUUUGGGGACGUGUUGGGGAAUUUGGAAAGCGAGAAACAAAUGCAUUUUCCGUGGAAAGCGUGUUAAUAUAGAUACAAUAUUUGGCGAGAUGCAAGCAAAUACUUUCCUGUGGACGAAAUGCAGAGCAAAGCAAAGAACUUUAAAUUGGAGGAGCUGGGCAUGUUUUGCUGUAGGAGAGUAGAUCACUGUAUGUUUUUUUGUUUUUUGUUUUCUGUCUAUACUUUUGGUGAUUAUGUAAAGGUUUGGUCUAGUAUCUAACUAGCCAAUAUGUACUGGACAAAUGCUUGGUGAUGAAUGUGAUUGGAAUUUGUUGUUAAAAAAAAAGGUCAAGUUAAUUCAAAAUACAUUUUUGGUGUUGUCCUG